rnacentral:rRNA from 1 species
UACGUAGGGCGCAAGCGUUAUCCGGAAUUAUUGGGCGUAAAGAGCUCGUAGGCGGUUUGUCGCGUCUGCCGUGAAAGUCCGGGGCUCAACUCCGGAUCUGCGGUGGGUACGGGCAGACUAGAGUGAUGUAGGGGAGACUGGAAUUCCUGGUGUAGCGGUGAAAUGCGCAGAUAUCAGGAGGAACACCGGUGGCGAAGGCGGAUCUCUGGGCCUUACCUGACGCUCAGGCGCGAAAGCUAGGGGAGCGAACUGG